AGCUUCUGUAACACAAGUGCACAGGAGGCCCUCCAAAUCUGCUAUUGUUUGCAUGGAGAAGUAAAAAAUCAAAGCUAAAUACUACACUGUCUCUGGGUAUUCAACAUUUUCCCCUGGAGUGAAGCGAUCUGCCGCUUUCAGCAACCCAGCAUUUGGAACGACUGAUAUGGGAUAACAAACUGCUUAGUGGUGUCACUGGCCAGGAGAGAGGCAGAAAGGAGAACCUACGGACAUAAAAGCAAAAAGGAUGAGGAGCAGCUGAUCUGACUGGAUACUGAGGUUCUGCAUGGAUUGGCCUUUCAUCAAGACGUCUGAUUCCAACAGGUUUGAUGGCGUCUGGUUCUACAGUGUCAGGCUGCUGGAGCUGGCUCAAGUCAUAAUCCUGCAACAUGUGAAGCAGAG
rnacentral:lncRNA from 1 species